CGGUACUCGUUUUUGUUAAAUAGAAUGCCCACCUAUUCGAUUCUAGCCAAACAUACACAAACUUAGUGAAGCCGACUGAAGCAACAUAUGCAUCAAUACAUUUAAAGAUCUCACUUAAUGUCCCAGGGCAAAGAUGGUUGUUCGAACACCAAGAGAUAGUGUGAGCAGAGUCAUAUUCAAUAACGAGGCUUUGUGAGUCGUUUCCCCUCCACUUGACAAACAACUUACAGCUUGAAGAAUCGCCAAUAGUGCAUCUUGUCCAUGAUCGAGCUCACCCAACAGUUUAGGAAACAUGGCUUUCAGCUUGCAUUUGUGGUCCCUAAGUAUGCCGCCACAACCAUCUAAUUAGUUUUACAUUUAUUUUCUUUCCAUAAUUUAGGAGAAACAAUUCAACUUUUAAAUCACUUCUUGAUUGCAAUAACUCAAUUGAGAUUUAUUUAAUGUUUUCUUAAUUUUAUUUAUGCUUUAAUUUUACCUCAUUUAUGUUACUUGCAAAUAUAUAAUGGGCUAAAUCAUUAUUAAGAUUAAGAAAUCCGCAUGUUAAUGGCUUAGUAAUCAAAACAAGAUUAAACACUAAUUUAAAAAAUAUGGCUACGUUUUAACUUUCUUUAUUUUAACUCAAGUCGUUAAUUUUAAAUAACAGAUAAGAUAACAAAGAUUUUAAGGAAAAGUGGUUUGAAAGCCAACCACCAACUCUGCAUUAGCAAACCAAAUGGAGAGGUUACCUAAGAUUAAUUCCAAGCAACAACCUCCAGUUGAAGACCCUAAAAACCAAGGGUGAAGCUGAUAACUAUAGUACAUCACCUGGAGGCGUUGUGGAAAGUACAUCAGUGACAUUUGUGCUUCUAAAGAACUUGACGUAGAUCUAGAGGUGCAUUUGUGUCAUUGAUUCUAAACAUAGGUUAAUUUUGAUAUAGAUUUUUU
rnacentral:lncRNA from 1 species